UACGUAGGGCGCAAGCGUUAUCCGGAAUUAUUGGGCGUAAAGAGUUCGUAGGCGGCGCGGAAAGUAGGGUGUGAAAGCCCUCGGCUCAACCGAGGAAUUGCGCUCUAAACUACCGUGCUUGAGGAAGCUAGAGGUGAGCGGAACUGAUGGUGGAGCGGUGAAAUGCGUUGAUAUCAUCAGGAACACCGGAGGCGAAGGCGGCUCACUGGGGCUUUUCUGACGCUGAGGAACGAAAGCCAGGGGAGCGAACGGG
rnacentral:rRNA from 1 species